rnacentral:lncRNA from 1 species
UCUGAUGGAGCAUUUUAAUCUUGUGGGGUAUAAGAGACUAUUUAGAUAUUAAAAUCAACUGACCACUUGCAGUAUUUGGUUUUCCUCUUGUAGAUACUAUCUCAAUAAAUGUGUGAAUUCAAACAAGUCUUCUUUUCAUUGGAAAAAUACUAACAGAAAUAUGCUUCCUAAAAAAAAAAAAAUAAGAAGCACUAGGGAACUAACAGAUAACUGAACAGAAAGGAGUUCAUAUUUGUUCAUGAACUGUAUUUUUCAAUAGGCUUUUUUAAAAUUUAAAGACUGUGCAGGGAAUUUCAUGAAGAAAUAACUGAAAGGUCCAUUCAGCCUUGACUAUAUAAAUUGCACAGCUUAGGUUAUAAGACACAGUAGUCUUGUAAGGCUUAAUCCAACAAGGGUUUGGAAAUUCUCACCUUGGUUAGAACAAACCUUUGAUGUGUU